GCCAGUGUGGCAUAGUGGUUUGAGUGUUGGACUACAACUCUAGAGACCAGGGUUCGAUUCACAGCUUAGCCA
rnacentral:tRNA from 1 species